rnacentral:rRNA from 1 species
GACGAACGCUGGCGGCGUGCUUAACACAUGCAAGUCGAACGGAAAGGCCCUGCUUUUGUGGGGUGCUCGAGUGGCGAACGGGUGAGUAACACGUGAGUAACCUGCCCUUGACUUUGGGAUAACUUCAGGAAACUGGGGCUAAUACCGGAUAGGAGCUCCUGCUGCAUGGUGGGGGUUGGAAAGUUUCGGCGGUUGGGGAUGGACUCGCGGCUUAUCAGCUUGUUGGUGGGGUAGUGGCUUACCAAGGCUUUGCCGGGUAGCCGGCGUGAGAGGGUGACCGGCCACAUUGGGACUGAGAUACGGACCAGACUCCGACGGGAGGGAGCAGUGGGAAAGAUUGAACAAUGGGCGGAAGCCUGAGGCAGCAACGCCGCGGGCGGGAUGACGGCCUUCGGGUUGUAAACCGCUUUCGCCUGUGACGAAGCGGGAGUGACGGUAAUGGGUAAAGAAGCACCGGCUAACUACGUG